UACGUAGGGGGCUAGCGUUGUCCGGAAUCAUUGGGCGUAAAGCGCGUGUAGGCGGCCCGGUAAGUCCGCUGUGAAAGUCGGGGGCUCAACCCUCGAAUGCCGGUGGAUACUGUCGGGCUAGAGUGCGGUAGGGGAGACGUGGAAUUCCUGGUGUAGCGGUGAAAUGCGCAGAAUAUCAGGAGGAACACCGGUGGCGAAGGCGGGU
rnacentral:rRNA from 1 species